GAUAAUCUCAUCACAUGCCAAAACCAAAAUUUGUUAGCCAUACCAAUGGCUAACCAUACAUUCAUUUCACAUUAACAUCUACUUUACUAGCUUAUACAUGCCAUUGAUUUCCAAAAUAAAGUUUCUUUAUAUACCGAGAAUUUGAGGUUGAUAGUGUGAUGCGUCUCCGACCAAAUCCGACCUCCGAGCCCUUAACACUACAAAACAGGGGAAAAAGAAACAGGAUAAGCACUUUGUGCUUAGUAAGCUCAUGUAACAAGAAUUAUACUUACCUAAUAUUUUCUUUACAAUGUAAUAAACAUUCAUACACCCAUUCCAUACAUUAUUCCCCUAUCAUGCACAAACUCAACAUUCAAAUUAGUCCAAUAAUUUCCAUGUAUCAAUAAUUUAUACCAUGAUUAAUGAGCUCAUCAAUUCCAUGAUUUCCAUUUCCUUGUUAUUUUUCUAUAUUUAUCCCAUUGAACUACUUGGAAUUUCGAUGGAUUUUCAGAGGUACACUUUAGUGUACAAAUCCGGGUCCGUCAAUUCAUAUUCAUGUGCGCACAUUUCCAUUUCAGAGAGCACACUCCCGCGAACCUCAUCCUUACAGCGGGAUUACCAGUCCAGGCUAAAUCCCCUGUAAUAUAAACUCACAGAGUAUUGUCGGGAUUACCAGUCCAGGCUAAAUCCCCUGCAACGACAAUUACUCUAAUGAGCUUGGAUCUGAAUUACCAGUCCAGGCUAAAUUCAGACCCUAAUUCGGAUUACCCGUCCGGGCUAAAUCCAUUUUCCACAUAUUCUUCGGGAGGGCUAUAUCAGAAUAGGAUCACCCGUCCGGGCUAGAUCCUUUUUACCGUCAAUUCCUUUUCAGAGAUCCAUCGAAUUUCCUUUUCAUUCAACCAAGAUUUAUUUUCUCUUUUCAUCAAGAAUAUCAUUACUUCAUCAAUUAUCAUACAAUAAACAUCCAAAUCAUAUUCACAUCAAUAACAAACAUUUCAAGCAUUUAGGAAUAUAAUUCAAGUUACACGAACUUACCUCGACACUUGUUCGUAACUAAAAAUCUACUAAUCUCGAACUUUUUCUUUUCCUCGAUCUUGCUUCGUAUUUGAAUUUUCCGGAUCUAAAUAAAUAAAUUUAAUCAUUAAUCUAAUACUUUUCAUGUUCAUAUGUGACAUUCUCUAUAAUUCCAUUAUUAUUUGUAGUGCAUUCAAAGCUGUCUCACUGAGUCACAAUCACUAAAUUAUUUAUAUCUCAUGAUUUACAAUUCCAUUGCUUACACCGUUUCUUUUAUAAGAAACUAGACUCAAUAAGCUUUAAUUUCAUAUUUUAUUCAUCCUCUAAUUCGAUCUCUACAAUUUUUGGUGAUUUUUCAAAGUUAGAGUACUGCUGCUGUCCAAAACUGUUUUAGUGUAUGAUGUUAAUUACCAUUUUUCCCUAAACUUUCAAUAAAUGAUAAUUUCAUCCCUGCUCAAUUAACCUCUCAAUUGAGCUGAUUUUUCUCAAUUAACACUUUAUCCCAUCACUUUAGACUACUUUAUAACCUUUGUAAAUCAGAAUUUCAGCACUAGACUUUGAUUCCAAACAUUUUCACAAUUAGGUCCUACAAAUCAAUUUCUAUUGAAAUUACCUAAUAAAAUAAUCUCACAAACAAAUUAAAGCUUCAAUUUCAUCCUAUUUCAUCAUAAAAUUCCAGCACAUAUUCAUAGAAACUUUAAAAUUCAUUCAUAAAAUCAAAAACUAAUGAAUUUAGUAAUAGGACAUAGUUGUAAAAGUCUUAGAAAUACAAAAAUUACAAGAAAAAGGCAAGGAUUAACUCACUUGGUGCAAAAAUU
rnacentral:lncRNA from 1 species